UACGGAGGGUGCAAGCGUUGUUCGGAAUUAUUGGGCGUAAAGCGCGCGUAGGCGGUGACUUAAGUCUACCUGUGAAAUGCCGGGGCUCAACCCCGUGCCUGCAGGAGAUACUGGGUCGCUGGAGACAGGGAGAGGCAAGCGGAAUUCCGGGUGUAGCGGUGGAAUGCGUAGAGAUCCGGAAGAACACCAGAGGCGAAGGCGGCUUGCUGGCCCUGUUCUGACGCUGAGGUGCGAAAGCGUGGGGAGCGAACAGG
rnacentral:misc_RNA from 1 species